rnacentral:rRNA from 1 species
CCUACGGGGGGCAGCAGUGAGGAAUAUUGGUCAAUGGACGAGAGUCUGAACCAGCCAAGUAGCGUGAAGGAUGACUGCCCUAUGGGUUGUAAACUUCUUUUAUAUGGGAAUAAAAUGUUCCACGUGUGGGAUUUUGUAUGUACCAUAUGAAUAAGGAUCGGCUAACUCCGUGCCAGCAGCCGCGGUAAUACGGAGGAUCCGAGCGUUAUCCGGAUUUAUUGGGUUUAAAGGGAGCGUAGGUGGAUUGUUAAGGCAGUUGUGAAAGUUUGCGGGUCAAACGUAAAAUUGUAGUUGAAACUGGCAGUCUUGAGUACAGUAGAGGUGGGCGGAAUUCGUGGUGUAGCGGUGAAAUGCUUAGAUAUCACGAAGAACUCCGAUUGCGAAGGCAGUUCACUGGACUGCAACUGACACUGAGGCUCGAAAGUGUGGGUAUCAAACAGGAUUAGAUACCCUGGUAGUC